rnacentral:rRNA from 1 species
AUGCGGAACCAUAGGCUGGUGGACGAGGCUCAUAGCAUCUUGUUGCAGGUCAAGGGCUUCCACCUGGCCAUGCAGGACAUCAUAGAUAAGUUGGAGUCAUUCCCCGACGACGGCGCCGAGAUGUGCAAGGAUAUGGUUGAUCGGCUCUGGCGUAACUUCAUCGCGUCAUCAACACCAUAUGGUCGAGCAAGACAAGCUGACAACUUCCCUCCCGAGGCGGCGGCGUCGUCAUCAUCAUCAACACCAUCAUCCUCAGAGGACGAUGUUGAGGCUAUCGUUUCAUGGCUGCAGAGGAGGUCGUACAACCCCCGGACAUACAGGAACCACACGACCCGGCCACUCAUGCAGCAACAGCUAACAACCUCGGACAUGCAUACACAGCAGCCUCUCGCCACCGUUCGGCAUCUCGCCAUGCGCCAUAUCUCACGGCGCCUCGCAUCUCACCUCCUGCAUGUUCUCCAAGGCUUCACCUGCUACAACUACCUAUAUGCAUGGACAAGCAAACUAAUAUGCAGAUACAUGUGA